UUAGAAUCAUAAAUCUAAACCAUUUAUGUUAAACAUUCCUCUUCCUGAUUGGCUGAUCUGGCUCGUAUACAUGCACGGCUCAGGCUGUUUCACAUCACAUAAGCAGUAAUGUAAAUUCUGGAGUUAUUUGUUUAAGUCCCUUUUUUUUCCGACCAACUAGAAGACCAGGACAAUACUCGCUAUGAGGGCGUCACAUUACUUGAGUUUUUUUUUUCUUUUUCUUUUUCUUUACUAUUUUUUUCACUUAUCUGUAAAGCCACAGAGAGCAGAGAUUGACAUGCGGCUGCUCUCCCGCUUGUUAUGUAAGAGCUUGUAAACAUUAGAAUAUAAAAUGUAUAUGGAUACAAGUCUAGAUCGAACAGAAUAUUUCAACGUCACUUUCUCUUAAAGACACCGUUCACGAGUUUGAAGCCGGUCUUUGUUCUUGCCGAAUGGUUUGAUAGGUUAGAAAUAUGAUGCCAAACUACAUCAGACACGUCCGUGUGUUUUGGGUUAGGAAUGUAGGCGGGAUAUGGGACUGGGGGUCAUUUCUCUUCCGAUUAUAGUACGAGAGACAGUAGAUGUUCCUCCUUCCAAGCUUCUGUUCACCCAACGCCCAGCAGCGCAAGCUUUAGUUUCCCUUAAAGUCUAUACGAGUCCUCUUAUUAUAGUUAAGCGUUCAACUGAGCUGGAUAUGAAGUUGUCAGAGAGGCAACGGACCAGUUCAAAGAAACACUUUUAUUUUAGUGUGAUUUUGGGCAUCUCGUUAACGGGUUACCUUCCCACACAUGGAUUUCUCUAUUUUUUUUGGUUUAGAAAUAAAUUUGAUCUGUGAACGGGCCUCACCUGUGGGAUACUGGAGCAGGUGGAAUCAGUAAUUAACGCUGUGUCACUGUGUGAUUUGAUGGCUCAUUGUCAUCCUUAAAGCUUUUACCUAAAGCCUUUUGUAGUCUGUUCAGUCUGAGUUCAGUCUGAGUUCUCUGGGGGUCUUUGGAGACCCCAAAAAGGCUGCACUCAGAGCACAGAAUGUAUCACUUCUAAAUGUCUGAAAUUUAUAUAUUUUUUUCCUUUUUGCCAAAUCUUUAAUUUUCUGUCUGCCAUAUUCUGCCUACGCUCAUGUUUACAGAAGGUUGUAAAAAUUAUUUUGUUGUUUUUCUUUUCGUUUUUUUUCUUCUCUCUUCACCCAGUUUGAAUUCCCUUUCACUCCGGAGUUAUGAAGACUGGACUGCUGUCGUUGAAUUAAGGCCUCCGCUCUCAUUGGCGCCGCACCACUCGAAAAACUCUCUGCUCACCUUUGACCAAUAGCAACUUGAAUCAUGACAACAAAAAGCAGUAUUUUGAACCGCAUGUUGAUUUUCCUAUCCGACAUCUCAUUGCUUUUUUACACUAGUGGCUAUAAAACAUGUGUGAGAGUCACGGUGGUCACGGGGGACGGAAAUGGCAACAUCAGUGUUUUUGACGUGUACUUUGUCCAUUGUUAGAGAAAGGCAGGAAAAGAGAAAGUUCCGAUUUUUUUAAAUUUUUUUUAAUGAAAAUAAAAAAUUUGCACUUUGGAGAAAAGCGUGUGACGAGUGUUAAGAGAAUAGCGAGAUCUUUGGGGAAACUUGAUGAGAAGUUUGAUUCCAAUCUCCUUUCUGGAUGCUACAUAUGAAUCGAAUGCUAGCAGCCUGUUAGCCUAGCUUAGCUUAACCUCCUGGACUAACCCAUGCUAGCCAUUUCCAGUUGCUAUUGGCUUUAGCUAAUGUUAGAUAUUUACCGGAGUUGGAAGUUAUUCACUUUGCUCAUUUUGAGUCUAUGUUGUUCAGUUUUAAUAAGUUAUCAAUGUGCCCUCCGUUGAUUAAUUGCCCACUUUUUUAAUCUGAGCUAAUUAAGGGAUUGCAUCAUCCUCUAAAUACACUGUAACACAUCAAAUGGUGUUGCUACAGCUCUUGCUGUGAGUCCUUCCAACCCCUUAUGAUUGUAAAUUGAAACCAUUUAUAUUCAGAUAUCUUAAUACUAUUACUAGCUUUUUGUGUUAGUAAUCGCAAGAAACGCCCACGUUUCAACACAAAUUGUUAUACCUCAAUUUCAAGCCACUAAAAACCGACACAAUCAAUUAGAAA
ensembl:lncRNA